UUUGGAUCGAGUUAUUGUCACCUUUAAAUGGCUAUUCCAUUAUCUUGAUGCAAUAGUUCAUAAUCUCCAAGACAUAGGAUCAGACUAUAGACCCAUUCUCCUUUAGUUAGAUCCGUGUUCAGUAAAAGCACAAAAAUUCUUCCGAUUUGAUAAUAGAUGUUCUGAGAAUCGUAAUGUGAAAAGGGUCAUCUCUGACGCCUGGGGGUCAAACAUCACUGGUUCUAGAACGUUCAUAGCUUUCUCCAAAUUAAAGGCUUGUCACACACUUUUCGUUAUAGCCCUUCAUGGA
rnacentral:misc_RNA from 1 species